CCAACUCCUUAUUUCUUCGGCGACGCGAAGUGCUUGGGUUGCCUUCUUCUUCGGUGAUGCGACAGUGCUAGAGGGUCUCCUUCUUUUUCGGCGACGCGGCAGCGCUAGGGUUUUGUUUUCUUCUCGACUCGACGGUAGAAGAAGGACAAAGGCGAUCCGUAUCCUAAUAUGGGAUCAAGAUGGGCAUCGUGUUGUCAAAGUUGAAUGAUUUUGGGAUACUCUUGGGUCGAAACUCGGUGUGACCGAGCAUAACCUCCCCCCAUGUCUUGGCCAUUUGCACUAAUGGCUAGUAGUCACCCGUGAUUUACCUCCUCCGUGUUGACUUAGGGACGGGUUGACGGAGGCGCUGGGGGCGAGUGAAUCACCUUUUGCCACAUCAAGAGGAGGAUGUCAGCAUGACGGACACUUUUUCUAAGAAUCUUCUAUAUUUACAAUGAAUAUUUUCUCUUCAAAUAAAUGGCCUGAUGAUUCAAUUGUGGGUGGUCGGUUUAGUUGGUUAUAUAUGAGUGUCUUUUUUAUCCAUCACUGUAGUGUUUUGAAUCUUUUCCUUCUUGAUA